UACGUAGGGUGCGAGCGUUGUCCGGAAUUAUUGGGCGUAAAGAGCUUGUAGGCGGUUUGUCGCGUCUGCUGUGAAAUUUCGGGGCUCAACCCCGAACUUGCAGUGGGUACGGGCAGACUAGAGUGUGGUAGGGGAGACUGGAAUUCCUGGUGUAGCGGUGAAAUGCGCAGAUAUCAGGAGGAACACCGAUGGCGAAGGCAGGUCUCUGGGCAUUAACUGACGCUGAGGAGCGAAAGCAUGGGGAGCGAACGG
rnacentral:rRNA from 1 species